UUAUCUCUGGAAUCCCGGGGAGAAGAAGGAGGACUGCAAUUAGCGCAGACCCGGCCAAGAGGAGGAGAGGGGGAGGGAAGAGGAGGGAGGCGUGGCUUCAGCCCUCGGGGGCGGGGCCUGUCGCUCCAGAGCUGGGCAGCAGGAGGGGGAAGGAAGGGGGGGCCUUUGGGUGAGUCAGGGUCUGCGCGCGCUGCCAAGGCUCGCUCUCGGGUUGCUCACGCGGAUUGCGUCACGCAAGGCGAGCAAAGGGGCGAGAGAGGAAAGAGGCGCCCUGGAGCCCCCCCUCUCUUCCCCGCCCCUUUCCUGCUGAGGCUUCGGGUGCUGAUGCAGCUCCUUGGGUGGGGCUUCCCGGCGGCUGGCUCACGCCCACGGGCUGGAGCCCAUGAGGCGGUGUUUCCCCUCGCGUUCUCCCUCCUCCUCCGCCUUUCCAAAGAGAAGCGAUCCCAUUUUCACUCUUGCCGUUCCCCUUUCCCUAUCCUCAGAUGGCACCUGAUGGCUCACAUACUGGCACCAAGCCAUGGAUCAACACUUCCAUUAUAGCACUACUACAAACUGACAGAAGUGAAAAGUCUUGUUUCUGUGUGGUCCACUGAAGCACUAGGUGGAUUAUGGUUGACCUGGAGUGGGCAAAUGAUAUGGAAAUGAAGUAACAUGAGUGCCUCUGAGCUAUCAAAAUGGCCCAGGAAUUGGUUUUCAGAGUCAACACUGAGCUCCCAAUUCACUACACAGCAUGAAAAUAUUGCCCUCCUCUGAAGAUACCAGUCACUGAUGCAGGCGAAACAUCAGGAUAAAAUGCUGCCAGAACACGGUCAUACAGCCCAGAAACCACAUAACACUCCAUUACCAUUUUUGAUUGCAUUUUCCAGCUAGCAUGACCACUAUCCAUAUUGGUUUGGGGAGUCUAGAAGUUGUAGUUCACAAAGUAGCAUCUCCAGGCCCUGCAUCCAGUCAUGCAAAAGUCCAUGUCUGGUUUCUCUCUCACUCCCUAGCAAAUUUCCCUUAUCUCAGGAUAUUAAUUUAGAAAGAAGGAGCUGCGUUUGCAAUAGCUGUUGUAAAAGAAUAGGAUGUCAGACACUCUUGGUGACCUACUUUAAAUCACUGAAGACUUGCCAGUAUAUUACAAUCUACCUUCUGCCGGCUCCUGUUCUAAAAAUGCAAUGAGAUUUCUUUGCAGAAUAGUAACUGAACAUCCUUCACUGGAGGACAAUGUAGCAGGUAAUACCAAAUAACAUUUUUUUUUUAAAUUUGCUCCUUUCCUUGUGUGGAUAUUUCAAAGCAUGUUUAUGGCCUAGAGGAUUUCCGGUCUUGGAAGCACUUGUAAUGAGUCAUUUGAAGUGUUAUUAAUGGCAAAGAUUACUCUGUAAAGUUUAUGGUUGAAGUUGUGCUGAUAUAAGCAAAUACCUCCCAUUAUAUUAAUGUCCUAUUUAAAUAACACAUUUCCAACAGCUGACUUUAUGCAAAGGUUUGCCAUACAUGAGAGGAAGGGUAGGUGGGAUUUAUAUUCCUGAAACCCAUGCACCAUUAAUAAAAGGUCAUCUGACAUUUAAGGCUUACAGCUCAGUGUGGGCUCCUUUAAUAAAUGAUGUUUAUCAGCUUCCUUUCAGUGUAAUAAAUAAAGCCAGAAAUGACAUGGGCUGAGCUUGAAUGCUCUGGCAAAUCCAGAGAAGGGGAGACAAAUUAAGGAGAAUUAAAGUUGGGAAAUCUUUGAAAGCAUCUUAC
rnacentral:lncRNA from 11 species